rnacentral:rRNA from 1 species
UACGUAGGGGGCAAGCGUUGUCCGGAUUUAUUGGGCGUAAAGAGCGUGUAGGCGGCCAUACAGGUCCGUUGUGAAAACUGGAGGCUUAACCUCCAGACGUCGAUGGAAACCGUAUGGCUAGAGUCCGGAAGAGGAGAGUGGAAUUCCUGGUGUAGCGGUGAAAUGCGCAGAUAUCAGGAGGAACACCGGUGGCGAAGGCGGGUUCUCUGGGCAUUACCUGACGCUGAGGAGCGAAAGUGUGGGGAGCGAACAGG